AAUCCUCGCUGUGAUUAGCCUUGGGACCCAGCUCUGUAGCACCGCCGGACAGCCACAACUUCUCCCCGCCCCCGCCGUUCCCAAGGUAGGACCAGUGCCUUCUCCCGGCGACGCCCUGUCACAACCGGAGGUAGGGAGUCCGGCGGUCACCGGAGUUGAGCGCGAAGACAGGAGAGAAAUUCAGAAGAGAAGAAAGGUACGAGUAGUAUUGUACGGCCCAAUACGGCCCACCAACUACAUUUCAAAAUUGUGAUUCCAGAAUUAACUCCCGUGUUCAGCCGCCACCAUCCCCAUUCGUGACACGCCCUGCCGCCUCCAGCACCUUCUCCUCGCCCCACCGGCUUUCUCAGCGCCGCCGGACACUCUGGUCGCCCGCACCUUCUCCUGGAUCGAAGACUGGCGCCGAAAUCCCGUCGGUCUGCGUUGAAUGCCGUCAUAGGUAUUGUUGGAGGUCGUCAUCCAUCUUGGCAAGAUAAUCGUCGCAGCCCCAUGGACACCGGUGCCACAGCACCUGCACGAGCUAGAAAGCGGAAGGGCAGUGAAAAUGAUGCAUUCAUCGAAGAAGUCAAAAAAAUGAGAGAGUCUAGAUUAGAAAUAGAAAGAGAUCGAAAGGCACGUGUUGACAAGUUCUUUGAGCUGGAGAAGAGUAAACUUGACCUUGAGCGCGACAAACAUGACACAAAAGUAAUGGAAACCGAUACGAGUACAAAUGGAUGAUGAGUCCAAACGGUAUUUUAAGUUACUGAAAGAGGAGAUUUUGGCGAGACGUUUUGGGAGAAAGCAAGAUUAAGGCAUCCUAAUAUUAGAGUUGCUGUUAUUCUUAUGUUAUACUCCGUAAUAAUUAUUUUCAACUGUUAGUUGUUGUGCCAUGUACGAUUGAACAAGUUGAGCAAGUUGAUGUGUGAACUGUUGGUUAGUCUUAUUCUAUAAUAAUUCUUGCGAACUGUUUGUGCAGUGUUAUUGUGGAUUGCUGAUUGUGCACUGGUAUUCAAUGAAUAUAUAUGCAGAAGUAUGUUCUGAAUUUUGUGGUAGCCUUCCUCUCUACUCCUUGCAGCAUAGCGAACACGUUAACUUGCUUUGCAUAUUAUUGUUCUUUCUGUGUUCAGGGAGUACUUAUAUUAGUCUGCAUGGUACAUUUGCUGGAUUUGCAUCGCAAAGCACCCACCAUUGGUGGUACUAAGUUCACUGCUUUUACAGAGAAUGUUCACAACCUAGCUGGUGAUGUCUUACACGAAUGAUAAUUCAGAUGGUGAUGCCUUUGCUGAUUCACCAUCAGGAAGUCCAUCAUCAUGGAAUUCUCAUUCACUUGAUGAAAUAACAGAUGCUGAUGUAUCUCGAAUGCGGAAAAAGUGGAGCAGUGCACAGAUGUAUCUCGGAUGCUGAUGUAUUCUCAGAGUGAUUUGUAGUUAGUUCUAGUUUAUGAUUCAUUGGAUUUGCAUCGCUUUUUAAAAUCUACAUGAUAUAUGUGCUUCAGAAUACCAUAAAUUUUGGAUUUCCAUGGAGCAAGAAACCUGCUAUCUGUCACAGGCAUCUUCAUACAUGACUUGCUAUUUUGUUCUUACUGCCCUGGACUUAGCAUCUUUUUAAAUUUUCUCUUGGUGCCUUUAAUUGAGCGCAUAUAAUUGCUGAGGUUUAUUUGAAUGGACAGGCGCUGCAGGCUGCCGUGGAAAAAUAGGUGGAAUUGGUCAUGUAUGGUAAAAUCUGCAGCACCAAUCCUAGGGAUAUCACACUUCAUGAGCUUGAUGCAGCAAAUGCACAACCACAACGAGAUCAAGAUAUUUUGUACCUUAUGGGAUAGAUGAUGAAGCCACGAAAGACUGAAAUCACGGAAAAAACUAUGGCAAGAAAUCAAUGAGGUGUAAACAGAUAUAUUGACGAAGGAAUCUGCAGAGCUUGUAGCCUUGUACGUGGUGUUUUGUUCAUUGAUGGGGUAUCAUUUUAUUGCACUUGUGAUUGAAAGAUGCACUUAUCAUGGCCUAAGAGAAAAGUUAAGUAGAAAGCAUGUUGAUUUUGUUGUUUGCUAAACAUGUUUUAUCUGCCUCAUGGUGCAGCAAGGUUUUAAAGUUGGCUAGUCGACUCUAGUCGCUUGAGCACCGAUAAGGUGACUAAUCGUGAUUAGUCGUUGAUUUGCUCGAUUAGUCGAGCCUAGUCGACUCCUAAUUGUCCACCUAUAACAGGACUUUUAUAUAUAUAUGUGUGUGUCUGUGUAGCAGGACAAUAGUACACUGGUUUCACUAAAAGUUAAAGAGGUGCUCAUUUUGGUCUCUGAAUUCUGAACAGAGGAGUGAUCGCCUGCGCGUGCUGGAGGGGGGACCUCCGUAGAGUGCAGCUGCCGCGCAAUGGAGGGGGGCGCAGGUGACGCUCAAGUAGAGGGCCGCUGGAGCAUAGCAAGGUGGCAGGGGAGGAGGGCGGCGGCGAUGGAGAAGGGCGCACAUGCGAGCGCGACUGUACGCUACGUAAUGCGUGUACUGUAUUGGUACAGGUAGGGUAAAACAAUGUUUGAGUUGUACAGACGGUGAGUCGGCACAUAUAACAGAGACCAUAUUAGUGGCCCAAAAUAGGCAUACAUAGUCGACCAUUAUACCUAGUCGGGGCAACUAGGACGACUAAUCGCUUUCUAAUCGCUCUAGUUGAGUCGAAGACCCUAAUCGAGCUCGCUCUAGCGAUAAGGCCAACUAAUCGUGAUUAGUCGGGCGACUUUAAAACCUUGUGGUGCAGUGCCACGUUUGUUGAACUUGAUUGUGUCUUCUGUCUAUUGAAAACCAAUUAAUGAAAUAAUGUUUUUCAGGUCCUCAUGAUGGAUAUUGAAUGUUUUUCUUAUCUUAACCGUGCAUUAGAGAGUCCUUUAUCACCAAUUGUGAUAAUUGCUACAAAUAGGGGAAUAUGUAAUGUAAGGUAUGCACUUUAUUUGCCACAGUAGUCUGCAGCUAACUUCAAUUGCGAUAAUAAGACCGUACAUGUACUUGUCUAUUAAGUUGCACCCUAAAUACUUGCUUGAUAAAUCUUGUAAUGGUUUUAUCCAGAGGAACUGAUAUGACGAGUCCACACGGUAUACCAGUGUAUCUUCUAGAUAGGUUGGUGACUAUUCGGACAGAAACAUAUGGCCCUACUGAGGUGAAACAGGUUCUUUACUUGUUUUGGGCACAAUUUCUAACGGCCCGUUUGAAUUAUUGGAAUUGAAUUCCAUUCUAAUAAUAGUAAU